CAACUUUCAACAACGGAUCUCUUGGCUCUCGCAUCGAUGAAGAACGCAGCGAAAUG
rnacentral:rRNA from 1 species